CCUGGAAAACGGGUGGUAAUACCGGAUGCUCCGCUCCAUCGCAUGGUGGGGUGGGAAAUGCUUUUGCGGCAUGGGAUGGGGUCGCGUCCUAUCAGCUUGUUGGCGGGGUGAUGGCCCACCAAGGCGUUGACGGGUAGCCGGCCUGAGAGGGUGACCGGCCACAUUGGGACUGAGAUACGGCCCAGACUCCUACGGGAGGCAGCAGUGGGGAAUAUUGCACAAUGGGCGCAAGCCUGAUGCAGCGACGCCGCGUGCGGGAUGGAGGCCUUCGGGUUGUAAACCGCUUUUGUUCAAGGGCAAGGCACGGUUUCGGCCGUGUUGAGUGGAUUGUUCGAAUAAGCACCGGCUAACUACGUGCCAGCAGCCGCGGUAAUACGUAGGGUGCGAGCGUUAUCCGGAUUUAUUGGGCGUAAAGGGCUCGUAGGCGGUUCGUCGCGUCCGGUGUGAAAGUCCAUCGCCUAACGGUGGAUCUGCGCCGGGUACGGGCGGGCUGGAGUGCGGUAGGGGAGACUGGAAUUCCCGGUGUAACGGUGGAAUGUGUAGAUAUCGGGAAGAACACC
rnacentral:rRNA from 1 species